CGGUGGAGCAUGUGGUUUAAUUCGAUGCAACGCGAAGACCCUUACCUUCUCUUGACAUCCACGGAAUUCUCCAGAGAUGGAUUAGUGCCUUCGGGAACCCUCAGACCGGUGCUGCAUGGCUGUCGUCAGAUCGUGUUGUGAAAUGAUGGGUUAAGUCCCGCAACGAGCGCAACCCUUAUCCUUUGUUGCCAGCACGUAAUGGUGGGAACUCAAAGGAGACUGCCGGUGAUAAACCGGAGGAAGGUGGGGAUGACGUCAAGUCAUCAUGGCCCUUACGAGUAGGGCUACACACGUGCUACAAUGGCAUAUACAAAGAGAAGCGAACUCGCGAGACCCAGCGGCCCUCAUAAAGUAUGUCGUAGUCCGGAUUGCAGUCUGCAACUAGACUCCAGAAGUCGGAAUCGCUAAGUAAUCGUAGAUCAGAAUGUUACGGUGAAUACGUUCCCGGCUUUCCUUCUCUCCGCCCGUCACCCCAUGGGAUACACGCGCUUCCCCCCUUUUUCCUCAUUCCUC
rnacentral:rRNA from 1 species